UGGGGAAUAUUGCACAAUGGGGGAAACCCUGAUGCAGCGACGCCGCGUGAAGGAAGAAGUAUCUCGGUAUGUAAACUUCUAUCAGCAGGGAAGAUAGUGACGGUACCUGACUAAGAAGCCCCGGCU
rnacentral:rRNA from 1 species